rnacentral:rRNA from 1 species
AUUGAACGCUGGCGGCAUGCCUUACACAUGCCAGUCGAACGGUAACGCGCCUUCGGGUGCCGACGAGUGGCGAACGGGUGAGUAAUACAUCGGAACGUGCCCGAUCGUGGGGGAUAACGAGGCGAAAGCUUUGCUAAUACCGCAUACGAUCUACGGAUGAAAGCAGGGGACCGCAAGGCCUUGCGCGGACGGAGCGGCCGAUGGCAGAUUAGGUAGUUGGUGGGAUAAAAGCUUACCAAGCCGACGAUCUGUAGCUGGUCUGAGAGGAUGAUCAGCCACACUGGGACUGAGACACGGCCCAGACUCCUACGGGAGGCAGCAGUGGGGAAUUUUGGACAAUGGGCGCAAGCCUGAUCCAGCCAUGCCGCGUGCAGGAUGAAGGCCUUCGGGUUGUAAACUGCUUUUGUACGGAACGAAAAGCCUUCUUUUAAUACAGGAGGGUCAUGACGGUACCGUAAGAAUAAGCACCGGCUAACUACGUG